AAAAAAUUACCCACAGGAAUAACAUAACCGUCCAAAGUCCCUAGGAAUUUCCCUAGCCGUCAGUUUCUCCUAAUCGAGAAUUCGUCUCGUUGUUUCACUUUAAUUAUCAUUAUAUCCAAGAUGGUCGUCUCCGAGUCAGCGACUGUUUCUCUUGUGUUUCUUUGUUUAUUUUUCAAAGGUUCAAUUCCGUCGUGAAUUACGUGCGCGCCUUAUACGUAGUUUCCUCGUGCGAAUUGACUCAGCGCAACCGUCCAAGGGAAUUCAAAUUUAAUGGAACUACUCGCCUCGUUACGUGUACACCUCUGGCGUAAAGGUGGACCCUCAUGUCAGUGACGUCAAGUAUAUAACGUAUAUCAGCCACGACAUCAACUCUGACACACAUACCUUGCUUAACUCCUCAUUAAGAGGAACUAUCGUCUCAGCUUCCUUCGGGCGAGGUCGUAAAGUCGUAACAGCUACGAACAAAAUGAAUCAAGAGCAGAGAUAUUGACGAAAGAAAGAGAAAGAAAAAAAGGUAGCGGUAAAGUAGAUGAAGCGGCAGUUACGAUUUUGAGGUUACAGGAAUAUCUCUGCGGGAACUAAGGUGCGACGUUGUUACACUGUAUAUUGAUAUACACGUGAGACACCAUAAAGGCGGUACAGACGUGAGAAUUUAUUCUUUAGUCAAGGACGCGACGUCGUUUAUUGCAAGGGAGCACAAUGUCGCCACAGUAGAAUGGACAAGCAGAGCGUGAAAAGUGUCUGCGUCACUGGCUCUUUUACUCGGAGUUCGUCGAGGUAGAAAGAUAUAAAGCUGAAGAACCAUGGUGGGAUGAGACCGUGCGCCCUUACGGUAUAGGGAGCAAGGGUGGUUACGUUUCUGCUGGUAGUGACGACAGCAGCAGCAAUGCGACUGGGAGAGUUGAUGAAUCCGACCUUGCGACGGCGUAUCCCGCAGUUUGCUAGAUUGACCCGACGUGGAAACAGCCCUCUAAAGUCACGGGGAGAUGGCUGAAGCAAGUCAGGGGUGCGUAAUUGAAACAGAAGAGUAUGACGAUGAAUAGGCAACUGAUGUCUUCGUUUACAACCAUUGUGAGACGAGUAUAGGUUGGAUGAAUUUUUAGAAAAUCAAAAAUUCGACGAAACUACUCUUGAGGCUCUGGAUGAAAUGUAUCUAAAGCGUCGUAAUUGACGACGUACGUGCGUCGUUCAUGAACGUCAAAGAAGACGUCCCCGAUGGGUGCGUUUAAUUGUCCGAAUAUUCGAGUGCGUCAUGGUCCAUCGAAAAUCCAACGAGUGGUCCAUUGUUUCACGGCUCUUGACUUCCCCAGGGGAUGAGGUCGAACCAUGCGUCUCUGGUUUGAGUGAGUGAAGGAUUUAGGUGUAGCGGCGACCAUAAAGCAAGAUUAAUGAGGCGAAAUGCAGUUCGGUAGGAAGGAGGAGAAGAGGGGAUGGCAGGGGUGUUGGCGCCAGCUGACCGACUGCUUCACUGGACCCCAUGAACCGAAUAGAAUCUCUCCCUCAUCAUCUCCUUUUAUACGGAGUCCCUUCUCAAGGAGAACAAGAUCCUCCGACACACCUCUGCCGGUAGGAGCCUGGCGUCAAGACUCUGGCACCGUGGCACCCAUGGGGCCCCAUGUUCCUCGUGGGGCAACGGGAUAGAAAACGAAUGGCCCGUGACGCUAUGGAGUCUGUCGAAAGGAAGGAUGGAAUUUAUUGAAAUUCCUUAGUACCGGGACAUACUUGCUGCGUCGGUAUUGCAGGGAACUGGAUACAGUUUCCUUCGUAAAAACUGUCUAUCCCGAUAGAUCCGUAUUACUGAGGGCCAGUACCCCGAGGACCAUAAUCCUGGAGCUAUCCCUUUGUUCGACUUAUUGUUUUCUUAGUCCUAGGUGCGAAUGGAAUAGUCUGGUACGCCCAGUGGGUCUGACUACAACAAUAACCUGAACCACCGUAGAUAAUUGGUCCCGGCAAGAAACAAUACCAGAAAGACAUCGAGCCGGUUUCAAUGCUUCGUUUAAAACUGCUGUAGCGUAGUACCAACGGCAAAGCCUCGAAGAAGUACCUGGAGGGCAUCUGCGCAAAAGCUUGCCAUUUGCAACGUUACGAACGCCGUCGGUUCAUGGUCGUCACGACGGCUUGAAAACAUCUUACCAACCGAGGGACAUGAAUGAAGCGACCAAGGUGCAAAAUCAAGAUUCAUCCAACAAUAUAAAAUUCAUUGGAGUGAACAAUUAUUUUUCCCUCUCGUUCAGAUAUCUUGGAUUUAAUCUACAAAGCAAAAGUUGGUAUCCAUGUCAAUUUUGAAAAAUCUGCUAGUCCAUAUUAUUAGAUUGAGCUCACGGAAUUCUCUGUCUAUCAUCUUUCUGAAUAAUCGUUGAAUAUUAACAUGACGAAAUUCCAGGGGGAUUCGCCGUGACGAUGAACGUGAUCGUGUGGAAACAGGUGGGACACCAAGCUUGCUCAUCUUCUUUUUAUCGUUCGAGGACGCCCCCCCUUUCAGGAAUGCCGCGUCCAUUAUACCGUUUCGUCAUUACGUGUCUGUCCGGGAGUCGACACCUUCAUAGAGAUACGUGUCAUCCGGGAGUCAUUUUUUUCUGUAACCAAAGAAAGGACAAACAGGCAUCAACACAGUUGAGCAGAAUUCAUGAAGAAAUUUUUUUCUUACACAUCAAAACGUUGAUUGAUUUCGAUGGAUUAUUUUUUCAAUUUUUCUUUAACAGCUAAAUCCCGAGUUGAAAUAUUUUUUUCACAAAAUGAAUAAAAUAAAUGAAUGCCAUCCAUUGUUGAUUUCUAUAAUUCUAGGAUAUCCCAAUCCAACAUCAUGACCACCAUCGAAUAGCCAGCAUGGUAAUGGCGAGCCGAACAAUGCUCUACGCUGUUUCGGGUCCAUGCAGCAUCCGACCCACACAUUCAGUCUACUCUGCGCCGCUCCAGGGAUGCUACAGAGUCGCACAAUCGGAGUGC